rnacentral:rRNA from 1 species
AAAGGAAUUGACGGGGGCCCGCACAAGCGGUGGAGCAUGUGGUUUAAUUCGAUGAUACGCGAAGAACCUUACCAAGGCUUGACAUACAGUAGACCGGAGUAGAGAUACUCUUUCCAGCAAUGGCUGCUGAACAGGUGCUGCAUGGCUGUCGUCAGCUCGUGUUGUGAGAUGUUGGGUUAAGUCCCGCAACGAGCGCAACCCUUACUGCUAGUUACAAACAGGUAAAGCUGUGGACUCUAGUGGAACUGCCAGUGACAAACUGGAGGAAGGUGGGGAUGACGUCAAGUCCUCAUGGCCCUUAUGCCUUGGGCUACACACGUGCUACAAUGGGCUGAACAAAGGGAAGCGAAGCCGCGAGGUGAAGCGAAACUCAAAAAACAGUCCGUAGUUCAGAUUGAAGUCUGCAACUCGACUUCAUGAAGCUGGAAUCGCUAGUAAUCGUGGAUCAGCAUGCCACGGUGAAUACGUUCCCGGGCCUUGUACACACCGCCCGU